AUUGAACGCUGGCGGCAUGCCUUACACAUGCAAGUCGAACGGCAGCACGGGAGCAAUCCUGGUGGCGAGUGGCGAACGGGUGAGUAAUAUAUCGGAACGUGCCCAGUAGUGGGGGGAUAGCCCGGCGAAAGCCGGAUUAAUACCGCAUGAGACCUGAGGGUGAAAGCGGGGGAUCGCAAGACCUCGCGCUAUUGGAGCGGCCGAUAUCAGAUUAGCUAGUUGGUGGGGUAAAGGCCUACCAAGGCAACGAUCUGUAGUUGGUCUGAGAGGACGACCAGCCACACUGGGACUGAGACACGGCCCAGACUCCUACGGGAGGCAGCAGUGGGGAAUUUUGGACAAUGGGCGCAAGCCUGAUCCAGCAAUGCCGCGUGCAGGAAGAAGGCCU
rnacentral:rRNA from 1 species